CCUGGAGACUCCUACGGGAGGCAGCAGUGGGGAAUAUUGGACAAUGGGGGCAACCCUGAUCCAGCAAUUCUGUGUGCACGAAGAAGGUUUUCGGAUUGUAAAGUGCUUUCAGCAGGGAAGAAGAAAGUGACGGUACCUGCAGAAGAAGCGACGGCUAAAUACGUGCCAGCAGCCGCGGUAAUACGUAUGUCGCAAGCGUUAUCCGGAAUUAUUGGGCAUAAAGGGCAUCUAGGCGGCCAAACAAGUCUGGGGUGAAAACUUGCGGCUCAACCGCAAGCCUGCCCUGGAAACUGUUUGGCUAGAGUGCUGGAGAGGUGGACGGAACUGCACGAGUAGAGGUGAAAUUCGUAGAUAUGUGCAGGAAUGCCGAUGAUGAAGAUAGUUCACUGGACGGCAACUGACGCUGAAGUGCGAAAGCUAGGGGAGCGAACAGGAUUAGAUACCCUUGUAGUCCAGAAGUG
rnacentral:rRNA from 1 species